UAGGGAAUCUUCGGCAAUGGACGAAAGUCUGACCGAGCAACGCCGCGUGAGUGAAGAAGGUUUUCGGAUCGUAAAACUCUGUUGUUAGAGAAGAACAAGGACGUUAGUAACUGAACGACCCCUGACGGUAUCUAACCAGAAAGCCACGGCUAACUACGUGCCAGCAGCCGCGGUAAUACGUAGGUGGCAAGCGUUGUCCGGAUUUAUUGGGCGUAAAGCGAGCGCAGGCGGUUUCUUAAGUAUGAUGUGAAAGCCCCCGGCUCAACCGGGGAGGGUCAUUGGAAACUGGGGGACUUGAGUGCAGAAGAGGAGAGUGUAAUUCCAUGUGUAGCGGUGAAAUGCGUAGAUAUAGGGAGGAACACCAGUGGCGAAGGCGGCUCUCUGGUCUGUAGCUGACGCUGAGGCUCGAAAGCGUGGGGAGCAAACAGG
rnacentral:rRNA from 1 species